UACGAAGGGGGCUAGCGUUGUUCGGAUUUACUGGGCGUAAAGCGCACGUAGGCGGAUCGUUAAGUCGGGGGUGAAAGUCCUGGGCUCAACCUGGGAACUGCGCUUGAUACGGCAGAGCUAGAGGAUGGAAGAGGGUCGCGGAAUUCCCAGUGUAGAGGUGAAAUUCGUAGAUAUUGGGAAGAACACCGGUGGCGAAGGCGGCGACCUGGUCCAUUACUGACGCUGAGGCGCGACAGCGUGGGGAGCAAACAGG
rnacentral:rRNA from 1 species